UGGGGACAUUGGAUACACUUGUAGCAAACCGGCACGUAGUGCGUCCCGAGAAACGCCCAAAAACUGCCGCCAGACCCUUGGCAUUCUCUCGCCCUUUUUUUUUUCAGUGCAGUGCAAACGUUGGGAUUUCUGUGCCUUUGGAUUAGUGAGAUCGUGCAUCGGGGGUGCCAGCAGUGUCUGGCUCUGGCAUAUGGUUAGUGUGCAUCACAUCGUAUGGAGGAGGAAGAAGGAGCAAGGGCAAGGGCACGAGGAGCAAGCGGCGUCUCUGACCUGCACGAGGCCACUUCUGAUCACAAGAUCACAGCACUGCACGGGAGAUUUGUUUGCUCCGUCCUCCUUCCGUGUCCGAAGAGCAGGCUUUGAACAGCAGCUCCAGCUCAGGCUGCUGCAUCAGCUCCUGGGGCCCCGCGGCUUUCCCACGCCCCUCGGCACGCUGGCUAGAUAUUUCCACUGGCAUGAAGCUCUACUCUCUGCUACUUAGGGACUUUCAAAUGGCAUCAAAAUGCUGGCUCGUGCUUUGGAAUUAUCCAU